rnacentral:RNase_P_RNA from 1 species
GAAGCUCGCCAGGCCGUCGCUGGUGCAAGCCGCAAGGCCGGCGCGAAAGCGCUGGGUGGAAACACCGCACUGGAGGAACGUCCGGACUGCACAGGACGGCGCAGGAGGUAACACCUCUCCACCGUGAGGUGAGGAUCAGAGCAACAGAGACGAGUCGCACGGGGCAACCCGUGCGGGUGAAACGGGCAAUCUCUGCGCGCAGCAAUACCAAGUAGGCCCACAUGGUGCCGCAAGGCACUCCCCCGUGGUUCCGUGGGGUGUGGGCGGGUAGGUAGCACCGAGCCGGGUGGGCAACCCCCGGCCCAGAGGAAUGGCGGUCACGCGGGGGCAACCCCGUGCACAGAAUCCGGCGUAUCGGCGAGCUUCACAC